ACCUGUGUCCUUGGAGGUAUGUCGUAUCCUCAGCUGCAAUGAAGAAUGGAGGCAGAACAAGUGGAGGGGCCCAUACCAAAAACAACCCCUUGGUUUGACCAUGACUCCCUGUGAAGCCUCCUUCAGGCUAUCCUCAUGCCACAUGAUGAAAAGAAAAGGGGACCUCCUUGCCAGACCAUAGCAGACUGGAUCGAGGUCACUAGCUGUGGGAUCAUGCACAUUACUUGGUACAGUGCCAUAAAGACUGAAUGACCUCUUGCUCUUGACCAGAUGAAAUGGUACAUCUUGUUCAUAAGACGGCAAGGGUUGGAAGCAGCAUGCCAUACUUUACCUUUUUAACUCCUGUUGGAAAAGAAAUGUUGAGUUUGUCAAGCAAUCAAUGAUGUGGCACCACUGGCCUUGGAGAGGUCAGAGAACAGCCCACAGGAUAGUGAGAUUCAAAGAGCCCACAUCUACCUUCUGCAAAGACUGAGCUGAAGGAAGUUAGAGCUUCCGACAUUGGCCUCAAACUGGGUUUACAGGUGGCUGUGAAAGGGGCAGUGAUCUCACAACUGGUGCUGACAUCACAACCGAUUCCCAGUCUGCCUCUCAUCAA